GUUAUUAUUAUUGUUUGCUAAAUAAAGCUGUGGACAUAUUUCCCCAUAUCCUCUAGUAUGUGCGUUAUUGGGUUAGGUUAUGGGGUGGUCGUCCUGGAUUCCGACUGCCCAAAAUGGCGACUAUACACCUGUCAUGACACCCCUAAAUCAGACAGACACCUCUCGCCUUGGGAAGAACACAAUCACUUUAUUAAGGCAGCAGCUAAUGUAUAUAAGAGCUUGGAUUUAUGUAAGC